UAAAGCGAUUCAGCGGGUUACGAUUGACGGAGCGAAGCGACGUCAAAGCGUAUACAAAGUCGAGUCGGUUUAAGGAUACGUUCGUUGGGUAGGGGAGCGUUCUGUAAGCCCGUGAAGGUGGCCUGUGAGGGUUGCUGGAGGUAUCAGAAGUGCGAAUGCUGACAUAAGUAACGAUAAAGCGGGUGAAAAGCCCGCUCGCCGGAAGACCAAGGGUUCCUGUCCAACGUUAAUCGGGGCAGGGUGAGUCGACCCCUAAGGCGAGGCCGAAAGGCGUAGUCGAUGGGAAACGGGUUAAUAUUCCCGUACUUGGUGUUACUGCGAAGGGGGGACGGAGAAGGCUAUGUUGGCCGGGCGACGGUUGUCCCGGUUUAAGCGUGUAGGUGUGUGUUCCAGGUAAAUCCGGUUCACUUUAACACUGAGGCGUGAUGACGAGGCACUACGGUGCUGAAGCAACAAAUGCCCUGCUUCCAGGAAAAGCCUCUAAGCAUCAGGUAACAUCAAAUCGUACCCCAAACCGACACAGGUGGUCAGGUAGAGAAUACCAAGGCGCUUGAGAGAACUCGGGUGAAGGAACUAGGCAAAAUGGUGCCGUAACUUCGGGAGAAGGCACGCUGACACGUAGGUGAAGUGAUUUACUCACGGAGCUGAAGUCAGUCGAAGAUACCAGCUGGCUGCAACUGUUUAUUAAAAACACAGCACUGUGCAAACACGAAAGUGGACGUAUACGGUGUGACGCCUGCCCGGUGCCGGAAGGUUAAUUGAUGGGGUCAGCGCAAGCGAAGCUCCUGAUCGAAGCCCCGGUAAACGGCGGCCGUAACUAUAACGGUCCUAAGGUAGCGAAAUUCCUUGUCGGGUAAGUUCCGACCUGCACGAAUGGCGUAAUGAUGGCCAGGCUGUCUCCACCCGAGACUCAGUGAAAUUGAACUCGCUGUGAAGAUGCAGUGUACCCGCGGCAAGACGGAAAGACCCCGUGAACCUUUACUAUAGCUUGACACUGAACAUUGAGCCUUGAUGUGUAGGAUAGGUGGGAGGCUUUGAAGUGUGGACGCCAGUCUGCAUGGAGCCGACCUUGAAAUACCACCCUUUAAUGUUUGAUGUUCUAACGUGGACCCGUAAUCCGGGUUGCGGACAGUGUCUGGUGGGUAGUUUGACUGGGGCGGUCUCCUCCUAAAGAGUAACGGAGGAGCACGAAGGUUGGCUAAUCCUGGUCGGACAUCAGGAGGUUAGUGCAAUGGCAUAAGCCAGCUUGACUGCGAGCGUGACGGCGCGAGCAGGUGCGAAAGCAGGUCAUAGUGAUCCGGUGGUUCUGAAUGGAAGGGCCAUCGCUCAACGGAUAAAAGGUACUCCGGGGAUAACAGGCUGAUACCGCCCAAGAGUUCAUAUCGACGGCGGUGUUUGGCACCUCGAUGUCGGCUCAUCACAUCCUGGGGCUGAAGUAGGUCCCAAGGGUAUGGCUGUUCGCCAUUUAAAGUGGUACGCGAGCUGGGUUUAGAACGUCGUGAGACAGUUCGGUCCCUAUCUGCCGUGGGCGCUGGAGAACUGAGGGGGGCUGCUCCUAGUACGAGAGGACCGGAGUGGACGCAUCACUGGUGUUCGGGUUGUCAUGCCAAUGGCACUGCCCGGUAGCUAAAUGCGGAAGAGAUAAGUGCUGAAAGCAUCUAAGCACGAAACUUGCCCCGA
rnacentral:rRNA from 5 species